rnacentral:lncRNA from 1 species
UUACACUCAGAUAUGAGAGGUUUGCGUGUAUUAGAGGCACUCCGGGUAUGAGAGAUUUACGGGUAUGAGAGGGUCUCCGUGUAUGAUAAUCUCUCUGGGUAUUAGAGGCUUUUAGCUACUUGGGAACGCUCUUCGGGUAUGAGAGGUCUGCGGGUUAUGAGAGGCUCUCCGGGUAUGAGAGGUUUGCUCGAAUGAGAAGUUCUGCAGGUAUGAGAGGUCUGCGGGUAUGAGAGGCUCUCCGGGUAGGAGAGGCUCUCCAGGUAUGAGAUGUUUAUGCGUAUGAGAGGUCUGCAGGUAUGAGAGGUAUGCGAAUAUGAGAGGGUCUCCGGGAAUGAGAGGGUCUCCAGGUCUGAGAUGCUCUCCGGGUAUGAGAGACUUUUAGCUCCUUGAGCAGGCUUUUAGCUCCUCGGGAAGGCUUUUAGCUCCUCGUGCAGGCUCCUCAGAGUAUGAGAGGUCUGCGAUUUAUUAAAGGCUCUCCGGGUAUGAGAGGCUCUAUGGGUAUGAGAGGAUUUUCUGGUAUGAGAGGUUUACAUGUAUGAGAGGGUCUUCGGGUAUGAGAGGUCUGCGGGUAUGAGAGGGUCUCUGGGUAUGAGAGGUCUGCGGUUAUGAGAGGGUCUUUGGGUAUGAGAUGCUCUCUAGGUAUGAGAGGCUCUCCGGGUAUGAGAGGAUUUUAGCCCCUCGGUCAGGCUCCUCGAGUAUGAGAGGUCUACAGGUUAUGAGAGGCUCUUCGGGUACGAGAGGUUUGCGCGUAUGAGAGGGUCUCCGAGUAUAAGAGGUUUGCGGGUGUGAGAGGCUCUCCGGGUAGGCGAGGCUCUCCGGGUAUGAGAGGUUUUCGCGUAUGAGAGGUCUUCGGGUAUGAGAGGGUCUCCAGGUACGAGAGGUUCUUCGAGUGUGAAUGGGUCUCCAGGUAUCAGAGGCUUUUAGCUCCUUGGGCAGGCUUUUAGCUCCUCGGGCAGCCUCCUCAGACUAUGAGAUGUAUGAUGGUUAUGAUAGGCUCUCCAUGUAUGAGAGGUUUGCGCUUAUGAGAGGGUUUCCGGGUAUGAGAGGUCUACGGAUAUGAGAGGUUGUCCGGUUAUGAGAGGCUUUGCCGAUAUAAGAGGCUCUCCGGGUAUGAGAGGUUUGCGUGUAUGAGAAGGUCUCCAGGUAUGAUAGGUCUGCGGGUAUGAGAGGGUCUCCAAGUAUGAUAGGUUCACUGAGUAUGAGAGGUGUGCGGGUUAUGAGAGGCUCUGCGGGUAUGAGAGGUUUGUGCAUAUGAGAGGGUAUGCGGGAAUGAGAGGGUCUCUGGGUAUGAAAGGCUUUUAGCUCCUCGAGUAGGCUUUUCUUUGUCAGGUUUUUGAGAGGGUCUCCGAGUAUGCGAGGUCUUCCGAGUAUGAGAGGCUCUCAGGAUAUGAGAGGUUUACACGUAUGAGAGGGUCUCCGGGUAUAAGAGAUAUGCAGGUAUGAGCGGGUCUCCGAGUACAAGAGGCUCUCUGGGUAUGAGAUGUAUGCGGGUUAUGAGAGGCUCUCCGGGUAUGAAAGGCUCUUCGGUUAUGAGAGGUUUACGCGUAUGAGAGGGUCUCUAGGUAUGAGAGGUCUGCGGGUAUG